rnacentral:lncRNA from 1 species
AAAGGCCACAAAAACGGGAGGGCUAUAGCCUUGGGGGCUGGGGCUGGCCAACUUCGUCCGUCGGACUCGGAAUGGCGCGAGAGUUUGCGAGGCGCCUCCGUGUGCCAAAAAUAGGCCGCGGGCGCAGCCGCGCCCAAAAAUAACCGCCCGAAGGCCGGGGCGCCAAGUUCGUCCAGCGGAAAAAGGCCACAAAAACGGGUGGGCUAUAGCCUUGGGGGCUGGGGCUGGCCCACUUCGUCCGCCGGACUCGGAAUGGCGCGAGACUUUGCGAGGCACCUCCGUGUCCAAAAAUAGGCCGCGGGCACAGCCGCGCCCAAAAAUAACCGCCCGAAGGCCGGGGCGCCAAGUUCGUCCAGCGGAAAAAGGCCACAAAAACGGGUGGGCUAUAGCCUUGGGGGGUGGGGCUGGCCCACUUCGUCCGCCAGACUCGGAAUGGCACGAGACUUUGCGAGGUGCCUCCGUGUGCCAAAAAUAGGCCGCGGGCACAGCCGCGCCCAAAAAUAACCGCCCGAAGGCCGGGGCGCCAAGUUCGUCCAGCGGAAAAACCCCACAAAAACGGGUGGGCUAUAGCCUUUGGUUGUGGGGCUGGCCAACUUCGUCCGCCGGACUCGGAAUGGCGCGAGACAUUGCGAGGCACCUCCGUGUGCUAAAAAUACGCCACGGGCACAGCCGCACCCAAAACUAACCGCCCGAAGGCCGGGGCGCCAAGUUCGUCCAGCGGAAAGAGGCCACAAAAACGGGUGGGCUAUAGCCUUGGGGGGUGGGGCUGGCCAACUUCGUCCGCCGGACUCGGAAUGGUACGAGACAUUGCGAGGCGCCUCCGUGUGCCAAAAAUAGGCCGCGAGCACAGCCUUGCCCAAAAAUAACCGCCCGAAGGCUGGGGCGCCAAGUUCGUCGAGUGGAAAAAGGCCACAAAAACGGGUGGGCUAUAGCCUUGGGGGGUGGGGCUGGCCAACUUCGUCCGCCGGACUCGGAAUGGUGCGAGACUUUGCGUGGCGCCUCCAUGUGCCAAAAAUAGGCCGCGGACACAGCCGCGCAUAAAAAUAACCGCCCGAAGGCCGGGGCGCCAAGUUCGUCCAGCGGAAAAAGGCCACAAAAACGGGUGGGCUAUAGCCUUGGUGGGUGGGGCUGGCCAACUUCGUCCGCCGGACUCGGAAUGGCGCGAGACUUUGCGAGGCACCUCCGUGUGCCAAUAAUAGGCCGCGGCCACAGCCACGCCCAAAAAUAACCGCCUGAAGGCCGUGGCGACAAGUUCGUCCAGCGGAAAACGGCCACAAAAACGGGUGGGCUAUAGCCUUGGUGGGUGGGGCUGGAAAACUUCGUCCGCCGGACUCGUAAUGGCGCGAGACAUUGCGAGGCGCCUCCGUGUGCCAAAAAUAGGCCGCGGGCACAGCCAUUCCCAAAUAUAACCACCCGAAGGCCGGGGCGCCAAGUUCGUCCUGUGGAAAAAGGCCACAAAAACGGGUGGGCUAUAGCCUUGGGGGGUGGGACUGGCCAACUUCAUCCGCCGGACUCGGAAUGGCGCAAGACUUUGCGAGGCGCCUCCGUGUGCCAAAAAAUAGGCCGCUGGUACAGCCGCGCCCAAAAAAAACCGCCCGACGGCUGGGAUGCCAAGUUCGUCGUGUGGAAAAAGGCCACAAAAACGGGUGGNNN